rnacentral:rRNA from 1 species
UAAGCGGAGGAAAAGAAACCAACAGGGAUUGCCCUAGUAACGGCGAGUGAAGCGGCAACAGCUCAAAUUUGAAAUCUGGCUACUUUGUAGUCCGAGUUGUAAUUUGUAGAGGAUGCUUUUGGUGAGGUGCUUUCUGAGUUCCCUGGAACGGGACGCCAGAGAGGGUGAGAGCCCCGUACAGUUAGCAACUGAUCCUUUGUAUAGCUCCUUCGACGAGUCGAGUAGUUUGGGAAUGCUGCUCUAAAUGGGAGGUAUAUCUCUUCUAAAGCUAAAUAUAGGCUAGAGACCGAUAGCGCACAAGUAGAGUGAUCGAAAGAUGAAAAGCACUUUGAAAAGAGAGUUAAACAGCACGUGAAAUUGUUGAAAGGGAAGCGCCUAUGACCAGACUUGUUUCUAUCAGUUUUGGUAGUUUUCGGACUGCCUGUACUCUGUUAGUACAGGCCAACAUCAGUUUGUUGUCGGGGAGAAAGGCUUAGGGAAUGUGGCUCCCUCGGGAGUGUUAUAGACCUUUGCAUAAUACCCUUCGGCAGACUGAGGACCGCGCUUCGGCAAGGAUGUUGGCGUAAUGGUCAUCAGCGACCCGUCUUGAAACACGGACCAAGGAGUCAACCUUAUAUGCGAGUGUUUGGGUGUAAAACCCCAGCGCGUAAUGAAAGUGAACGUAGGUGAGAGCUUCGGCGCAUCAUCGACCGAUUCUGAUGUUCUCGGAUGGAUUUGAGUAAGAGCAUAUAGGGUUGGACCCGAAAGAAGGUGAACUAUGCUUGUAUAGGGUGAAGCCAGAGGAAACUCUGGUGGAGGCUCGCAGCGGUUCUGACGUGCAAAUCGAUCGUCAAAUAUGAGCAUGGGGGCGAAAG